CAUGACCAGUGGUUAUGCUUUUAAAAGAGGAAGCUGUUCAUGUAGGGCAACCAGUGAGACUCUCUGAAAAACGUCCGCUCGGUAGAGGUUCCAGUAGCUUACUCGCUUUUGCUGAGGAGAGAUCGCUUACAAGGAUGGUUCCACCACCCGUCCCUUUUUCCUUGUCACGUAGCUUUCCUAGUUGCGCAAAUAGGCCGUAAAAAGCUACCUUAACGUGAACCCCAGCAUGCUGAGAUGCUGAUGUACCUAACAAUCUUGUAUACAUGUCUGCUCGGAAGUAAGGCCCUUUGAAUUCUAUUGAACUUACUUUGAGGCAACAUAUUUAGAAAGUUUGCUAUUGCCAAAUGUAACUACCGAACUAAAAUGAAACAUACUGAAUGGAAGGGGACAAAAGAAGAUGAAGUUGUGGUGUUUUCUUUCCCCUUUAAGUAUCUUUGUCUUACAACUGGAUGCUAAACCUGGAUUCAAACUGAGAAUUACACAAAGAGGGCUGAAUUAUGGAAAGGAAAUUGGAAUGAAGAUCCUGCAACAAGAAAUAAAGGAAAGAGUAUUUCCAGACAGGAAUGGCAGUCAUCAAUUCUUUUUUGGUACUGUUGGCUAUUCAGUUUCAAGGAUUCGAAUCACUUCCAUUUCAAUGCGCAAUAUAUCUUUGGUCCUGAUACCUACAAAUGGGAUUAUAUUGGCCAUUAGAGAUGCUUCGGUAAUAGUUGGCACCUACUGGAUCUUGAACAACUCGCUGUUAGUUCCACAUCUUUUUACUUAACCACAGAAGCAUUAAGUAGAGUCAUUCCUGAAGUUGCCCGGCAUUAUGCAAACAAGUCUCAUGCAGUAAGGAUGAAGCUAAUGGUUACUGCAGCCCCAACUGUAAAGUUGCAAAAUAGCAGUUUCACUCUAAAGAUUCCUUGUUUUGUGGAAAUAUCUUCUGUUUUGCCAGACCUUACUAUGCAACCCAUCUUUGCAGUGAAUAUUAUUACACUUGUCUCUCGUCUAUUCAAACAUUGGCUCUUUCCAGGUUUCGGUUUUGGAGAACUUCAUGUCCUACCUCUUGCAGAACACAGUAAUCUUGCCAAUCAAUGCUGUACUGAAGAGAAGGCUCCAACUUCCAAACGUGACUGGACUUGUUUUUCUUGGACCUGUCAUUAAACUUAAAAAGGGUUACAUGCUGAUUUCUACUGAUGUAAGCUACAGAUUCUAAGAAUGGUCACAAAAGCCUGACAUUUUGGAAACUCAUCCUUCUCUGGACUUGUUCAAAGAAGUCUGCGGUUUACCUUCUGAAGUGUGAAAUGGGAGGGGGAGGGAGGGUGCAUAAUGAAAUGUUUAGAUUGUGUAAUCAUCUGGGUGCCUGGGAAUUUGGGGGCCUGAUGACUAA